CUUUUACUUAUGCAACUGUUUGCAGUCCUUUGGUUGCUCCUUCUCUCAGUGUCAUGCAAAACUUUGCAGAAAUGACCUGUGAAUUUGAUCCAAAGAAUGUAUCAUUGCUACUCAAGGGACAUGCUAUGUACAGAAACAAGACUAUGGACAUAAUUCUACAGGUCGAGGAGUUUCGCAGACAUAACUCCUUGGGAGCAGUGCCCAGGUCAAGAAAGAAAAUGUGGCCAAUGCCCCAGGAUCUUAUUUGGUCAUCCAGGCUGGACUGCAGUGGUGUGAUCAUAGCUCACUGCAGCCUCAAACUGCUGGACUCCAGUGAUCUUCCAGCCUCAGCCUCCCCCGGUAGCAAGGACUACAGGUCUCACUCUCUGUCGCCCAGCCUGGAGUGCAGUGGCAUCAUCUGAGCUCACUACAACCUCCGCCUCCCGGGUUCAAGCGAUUCUCCUGCCUCAGCCUCCUGAGUAGCUGGGACUACAGGCACGCGCCACCACGCCCAGCUAAUUUUCGUAUUUUUAAUAGACAUGGGGUUUCACCAUGUUGGCCAGGCUGCUCUUGAACUGCUAACCUCAAGUGAUCCACCAGCGUUGGCCUCUCAAAGUACUAGGAUUACAGUGCUAGGAGCCACCAUGCCCGGCCGCCUCUCUUUUCUUUUACACAUGAAGAAAAAGUGGUCAGAGAAGUUAACUUGGUCAGUGCCAAAAGCACUGGAAGUGAGUAGGACCAAGCUUUUCAUCUAGAUUUGUUUGUUAGACUCUAAAUCCAAAUUCACAACAAGAUCAGAAUAUGAGAAACCUAAGGAACAAAAUUCUAGGAAUCAUUUCUAGAAACUGUGGCUAUUGAAAAAGCACAGACCUAGGGAAUCAAAUUAUUUUCCCUGCCACCAGCACAUGGGUAGGCCUGUGACAAAUUCCAUGCUCUGGACCCCAGAUUCCUCAGUGAGAAUAGAAGGGGCUAGAGACAUCAGGGAAUUGGAUUUGGUGACUUUAAUACCCACUCAGCUCCAAAGCAUUCUUGAAUGAUGCACGAUUUAUGAAUAUAUAUAUUGAAAUUUACUGAUGGGUGAACAGCUCUCAACAUGAGAUUUUUGUUGUAUGCCUUAAAAAAGAUUAUACAUAAAUAUGCGUGUGUGUGUGUAUGUAUGUUUCGAUGUAUAUGAACCCAUGAUCUGAAAAAUGGCCACUGUGGCUUGUGGAAACCUAUUAAUCUCUGCUGUUCCACCCAACAUCCUCAGAGAAAAAAAUAAACAACUUUUUGAAAGUGCUGCCAUGGGGUCAGACCAAAUACUGUGGCCACUUCCAAGGGGUUUGCCUUGAUUUGCCUGGAUUCCUGUUCAUGUGACAUCUGCCUUCUAAUUCAAGGAUAUGAUCAAUUCAAUGUGUGAGUUAUCAAUCAAGGACUGGCAACAGUGAUGCUGAACAAGCCUGGUGGAAGGAAAGAGAAGGCAGGCCAGAGCCCAGACAGACGCAUUCACAAACCUUACAAAGAGGACAGGCUAAUUAGGGGCUGUAGUUCUCCCUCUCUUUAUAGUUGGUAUAAGAGGAGUGGUAAUCGUAGUGUCCAAAAAUAUAUGGGCUACAUAGUUGCUUAGUAAGCUGUGGGUAUGUGGUUUCUUCUGCAAGGUGCUUUCUUUCUGAUAAAGAGAUUACGUUGUUUGUUUGUUCAUUUAUUGAACAUAUUUACACUUACACACACACACACACACACACACAAUGUUCCAGAUACCGUACUUGGCAAUGGUAGUUAGACCUUGCUCUUGCAAAAUUUAUAAUGAAGUUGGGAAGUGUGGUUUGAUCCCUCAAAGUGUCCAAAUCCUAAUCCCCAG
rnacentral:lncRNA from 10 species